rnacentral:rRNA from 1 species
UUAAAACUCAUAUAAGUAAAGAAAAUAAUAAAAAGCUAAUUCAUUAAAUUUACUAAAACCAAUCUUAAACUUAUAAAUUUUUGGUUGGGGCAACCGCGAAGAAAAAAAAACCUUCGCCAAAAUAAAAAAAUAAACAAAUUUAAAAGUUGAUAAAACUUAUAAAUGAUCCAGUAAAACUGAACAAGGAAAAAAGUUACCGUAGGGAUAACAGCGUUAUUUUCUCUAAGAGCUCAUAUUGACGAGAAAGUUUGCGACCUCGAUGUUGGAUCGGGGCCUCCCAGAGGUGCAGCAGCCUCUAAAGGUGGGUCUGUUCGACCCCUAAGGCCCUACGUGAUCUGAGUCAGACCGACGCAAGU